rnacentral:rRNA from 1 species
GCRCGAAAACUCUACAAUGCAGGCAACUGCGAUAGGGGAACAUCGAGUGGCAYCCACCAUGGGUGUCUGUCCAACCGUCUAAAAAACGGCUGUUAGCAAGGGCCGGGCAAGACCGGUGCCAGCCGCCGCGGUAAUACCGGCGGCUCGAGUGGUGGCCGAUAUUAUUGAGUCUAAAGGGUCCGUAGCCGGCUUUGCAAGUCCCCUGGGAAAUCCAGCGGCUUAACCGUUGGGCUUCCAUGGGAUACUACAUUGCUUGGGACUGGGAKAGGUAGGAGGUACUCAGGGGGUAUGG